GCCUUGUAAUUUUUUCUUGUUAGCUGGUCAUAGUGUACUGGGUAAAAGGAACUGCUGUAAACAGACCUCUAGUAAUGGGGGGGUGAAGUGGGGAAGGCAUUCUGUGGUCCUGUGGUUAGUCUCAGCCUCUUAGUGAGCCUGUGCCUCUGAACUUCACAAGUGCUUCUCAGUCCCUUGUCUCCUCCCCACCUUAUGUGGGACAGGAUGGCUAGAGUUGCUGGAGUAGGGUAUUUCCCUCCCCCAGGUCGGGUAGGCUGUGAUAAAAUCUCAGGGGCUUAGGCUCUGGUUGAAUAGUUUCUCCUAAGGGAAGGCCUUGUUAAGAACAGGGUGCUCUGUGCAUUUCAAAAUCGUUCCUUUCUCCCUCCCUUUGCCAGAAGCAUGAGGGCAUUUUUCUCUGACAUUUAAUGUGAGAACCUGGUCGAGAUUUUGAAGGGAGCUAAUGAGCCAUGACAAGAACAAAAGGCCAGCAGCCAAGAGGAGGGGGAAAUAGGAGCUGGCAGACCAGACCGGACUGCGGCUCCUGAGCUGGUUGUUUCCCUUCUCAAAGGCGCAAGUAAGGUGUCGCUGUCCUUUACUCCGCUCAAAACUUUAGGCCUCCUCUGCGAGGCUGCUCCCCUCCAUGGCACCCACCCACAGGGCAGAAAUGCAGAAAGCAAGGCUUUGCCUCUAGGGUGGGAGGGGAGGGAGGAGCUGGUUCCCAAGGGAACAAGGAAUCCCGUUUGAGAGACUAGGAUGUUCUCAGCCUCAGAACUGGCUUGCGAGCUGGCCAAACAUGCAAAUACCCACAGGUGCAGCAUGUAAAAGAGAAGUGGCCUUGGGUGAGGCUGCAGGGGCAGCUGGCCGCACAUUUUGCAUAUGCUCCUAGGAAGCUAAAGUUAGGCUCUGGUUUACCCCAGGUGUAGGGGCCACAUUUAGCUAUUCCUCACCACUGAGCAAGGGGCUUGCUGCAUUAUUUGGCUAGGGCAGGGUCUGGCUUGCCCUCUGAGUCCUGAAUUGGGUCCCGGGCCAUUGCUGUAUUUGGGUAAGGUUAGGGUAAUCACAACUACUCUUUCCCUUCCCCCAACCAAGUCUGAACAUCAUCGAUUUAACACCUAAGAUGGACUUGAAGGAUUGUCUCCAUCCCAGAGCUAAGACAUCACCAGGAUUCCAUACUAGCAGACCCCAAUCUGGUUUGCUCAUGGACUUCGCCUGUACCAUUUCUCCUAACCAGUCUUCUACAGCAUCACUUGCUCUGCUUGGCACCCUGCCAGCCUCUGACCCCUAGAUGGGCCUUCCUUUUUGUGGCCCAGCCUCAUCCCCAUACCCGAUGCUCUGCUUCUCUGGCCUCCCAUUUUUCUCUCUUCUUUGGCCACAGUUUGAAUUCCUAUUCC
rnacentral:lncRNA from 1 species